rnacentral:rRNA from 1 species
GGUCAGUAGGUUGGUCGUGCCACCGGUACGUACUGGUCUCACUGAUUCCUCCUUCCUGAAUAACCGUAAUGCCAUUAAUUUUGUGUUGCGGGGAAACAGGACUGUUACUUUGAAAAAAUUAGAGUGUUUAAAGCAAGCUAACGCUUGAAUACAUUAGCAUGGAAUAAUGAAAUAGGACGAUCGAUCCUAUUUUGUUGGUUUCUAGGAUUGACGUA